GGAGGGGUCGCAUAGUCUGGCCUAGUGCGCACGCCUGGAAAGCGUGUUGGCGUUUACCCGUCACGUGGGUUCGAAUCCCACCCCCUCCG
rnacentral:tRNA from 1 species